rnacentral:rRNA from 1 species
GGGUGAGUAACACGUGGAUAACCUACCUAUAAGACUGGGAUAACUUCUGGAAACCGUAGCUAAUACCGGAUAAUAUAUUGAACCGCAUGGUUCAAUAGUGAAAGACGGUUUUGCUGUCACUUAUAGAUGGAUCCGCGCCGCAUUAGCUAGUUGGUAAGGUAACGGCUUACCAAGGCAACGAUGCGUAGCCGACCUGAGAGGGUGAUCGGCCACACUGGAACUGAGACACGGUCCAG